rnacentral:rRNA from 1 species
UACGGGGGGGGCAAGCGUUGUUCGGAAUUACUGGGCGUAAAGGGCUCGUAGGCGGCCAACUAAGUCAUACGUGAAAUCCCUCAGCUUAACUGGGGAACUGCGUGUGAUACUGGAUGGCUUGGAUUUGGGAGAGGGAUGCGGAAUUCCAGGUGUAGCGGUGAAAUGCGUAGAUAUCUGGAGGAACACCUAUGGCGAAGGCAGCUCGCUGGGACGUUACUGACGCUGAGACGCGAAAGCGUGGGGAGCAAACAGG